rnacentral:lncRNA from 1 species
CGAUCACGCUUUAGGAGACGCGAACUCUUUCGGGAAAUUCCUCACGUCGUGGUCAGAGAUAUCAAGAAAUCAGCCGGUUUCAUGUAUACCAGAUCACCGGAGAAAUCUACUCCGUGCGCGCUCUCCUCCACGUUACCACCCUCUGUUAGACAAAACAUUUAUCAAAUGCAGCGAGGAAGAGAUUAAGAACAUACCAAUGCCAAAAACGCUCAUCAAGCGUCUCUAUCACAUCGAUGCUUUGAGCAUAAACGCGUUGCAUGCUCUAGCUACUGUAAACGGAGAGAGCAGGACAAAGAUCGAAGCUUUCUCCGCUUAUGUAUGGAAGAAAAUGGUGGAUUCUAUAGAGAGUGGUCAUAAAACCUGCAAGAUGGGCUGGCUUGUUGACGGUAGAGGAAGACUUGAGACCGUUACCUCGAGCUACAUAGGAAACGUCUUGUCUGUAGCUGUAGGUGAAGCCACUGUCGAAAAUCUGAAGCAAAACCAUGUAUCAGAGAUAGCAAACAUAGUGCAUAACUCGAUAAACGAAGUGACAAACGAUUCCCAUUUCAAAGAUUUGAUAGAUUGGAUCGAGAGUCACCGACCUGGACUGAUGUUGGCUCGGGUGGUUCUCGGACAAGAAGGACCAGCUUUGGUCUUGUCUUCAGGACGACGGUUCCCUGUGGCUGAGUUGGAUUUUGGAUUUGGUGCUCCUUUCCUUGGA